CUAGGGACCUGUACUGUGAUACAGCACUGCAACCUGAAUCUAUGGAUUGAGAGCUCUGGAAGCCAUUUCUCCAUCCCCAUGCUUUUGCUGGUCCUGUAGCCUCUGCUGCUAUUGCUGCUGCCAGGAUUGUUGAUUCAGUGGCUCCUGGUUUGCUUGGGCUCCCUUCACAAACUAAUGUGCCUUUCCUGAUCACCGAUCACCCUUGAUGUCUAUGGGGCUGAGAGAUCAGCUUCUCUCUGAGAGCCAUCUGGAUCCAUUGGCAAGAUGUAGAUAAAGACGGCAGGUUGUAACACUACCAGAGAGCAACUUCAAGAAACAGAGGAAGCCAAAUAUGUCCUGGAGAAGUUUCUUUGCAGUUAAAAACAAUCUGCUGCUGUAUUCUUUGGCACAAGUUCUUAAUGAAAGCCUUUCUCCAUUUAACUAUUCCUAUAUAUUCUUCUGAGACUUGGGAAGUUGCUUAAAGUUCAAAAGGAUGUCUCAAUAGACUAUCUUGCCUAGAAAAGAGAUCUUUUAUAAAAAAAAAAGAUUUAUAAUGCCAUGUCCAGAUUGCUGGUUUUGUCAGGCAGCAGUCAAGUAUAAUUCAUCACUCAAAGUCAAUGCUGUAUGAGGACUGGUUGAAGGUACUACAGAUGACAAGGUUGAAGAAGAAAAGACUUGGAAGGAAAUGAGAGCCAUUUUCAAGUGUUUGAAGGGCUGUCAGAUGGAAGAGUGUUUGACCUUCAAGAUCAGAACUAAGAGCAACAACCUUGAUUAAUGAUGAUUCUGAGAAGAUGAGAGCGAAAGGAGAGAACAAGAAAAAGGAAGGGAAGAAAAGAAAGAGAAUGAAAGGAGUAGAUGUGAAAAACAACUUCAAAAUAAUUUUGGGGAUAAUAUUCCUUUUUGUUCUUUACUCCACACCUUCCAUUUCAACUUC